rnacentral:misc_RNA from 1 species
UGGUUCUGGCAUCGAUGAAGAACGCAGCGAAAUGCGAUAAGUAAUGUGAAUUGCAGAAUUCAGUGAAUCAUCGAAUCUUUGAACGCACAUUGCGCCCCUUGGUAUUCCGAGGGGCAUGCCUGUUCGAGCGUCAUUAUAACCACUCAAGCCUCGGCUUGGUCUUGGGGUUCGCGGUAUCGCGGCCCUUAAAAUCAGUGGCGGUGCCGUCUGGCUCUAAGCGUAGUAAUUCUCUCGCUAUAGGGUCCCGGCGGUUACCUGCCAGAACCCCCCCCUUUUUUUUUACGGUUGACCUCGGAUCAGGUAGGGAUACCCGCUGA